UUAUUACAGUUGAACUUAUCUCGAACUUGGCUGGUACACUACCGUGUCUACUAAUGAGCACAAUGUAUGCCUACAUGACAAAUACCUAUGUUUCAUUUGCCUGUUCGAUGUGUAAUUGUUACGGUUAGGAUUAAUUUUUAGUAAAAUGAACAAAUUAUAGAGUUUAAAUGGAUUCAUUGACGGCAAUUCAUGCUUGUUGGUGAAAAUGAUGGCGGUAAAUAUAUUAGGUCGUAUCCUUGUAUUGGCGCUUAUGCUGACCAUCGUCGGUUCACUCUACUAUCAUGAACCAUCACACAUUGAGAUAAAGCCGUCUUUAGAAGAAAUCAGCAACACUACAGACUUUGGAUUUUCUUUAGCUUAUCAACCUGGAGCUAAACCACAAUUAGUGGUUGGUGCCCCUCAUUAUGACCUCGUGGGCAGGGUGUAUGGCUGUCCCAUGGCUCAAAUAUUCAAAAAGUCUCAGGAAUGUUCAAAACUGGAUAUAGAUCUCCUCGCCUUGGCCAGUGAUUACGAGAAAAAUAACACAAAACAGCCUUUUUGUCUGGGUGGAACGGUAGCUGCUACUAAGGAUUAUGUGUUUACUUGCGCUCCGUUGUGGACGACAGUUGUCUCAAUACGCAGUGGUUACAAAGUCGGCGGCUCAUAUGGCACUUGCUUUGUAUACUAUAACCAAACCAGUGUGCAAAGAUUUCGCGGCCUUCUGGAACAAACGAGGGGCCGCAAUUACCCAAACAUAUAUGGAGGAGUGGGCUGGAGUUCCAUAGUCGAGGAAACCAGUCAGCUUCUCGUAGGAAAGCCUGCGGUGAGAGGAGACAUUCAAUACGUCUCCGCUGCGCACCCUCUAAGUGAUACUGUGUCUGUGGCUAUUCAAUCUCGCCUAGAACAAAGUCAGCAAGUCGGAUAUGCGCUCGCAUUUGGUAAAUUUUUUUCAAACAUACAUUCGCUAUUGUACGCCUUUAGUUUCCGAGAUGAAGAAAAAGGACAAGUAGGUUUUCUUCAAUAUGAUCAAAAGAACAGCAAAAUGAACCUUGUAAAGUACCAGGGAGAGAACAAUAUCCGGUACGAGGUGAUAGUGUCAUCUCCUGUAGCCAUGAACAUGUUUGGGGCGGCAUUAGGUGCCUGUGACAUCAACGGCGAUGGGGUCACUGACCUAAUAGUGGGUGCGCCGGCGCAUACCUCCUACGAGACCAGUUACGACGCUGGCGCCAUCUACAUUUAUUUAGGGGGUGAUUUGACAACUCUGACAAAUCCGUUCGGAAAAAUUAAUGAUUAUAAAAUGACGAUUGUAAGUGACAAAGAUGGCGCUCGUUUUGGGACCAGCAUUGCUUCCAGUGAUAUUGACGGAGAUGCUUUAUCAGAGAUAUUUGUGAGUGCCCCGUAUGAGGACUCGGCAGUUGGAGCAUUGUAUAUUCUGUCAGGAUUUGAGCUGACUCGUAUAAUGAAGAAAUCGAAGACCACAGACUUAUACUUGUCAAACUUAAAGCUUACCCAAAGAAUUCAGAAGGCGGACUUUAGAUCAUACGGGUAUAGUCUACAAGUAGUUUCUGAUGUCGAUAAGAAUGGAUGUGAUGAACUAGCGGUGGGCGCUCCUGGAAGUGCCAGUGUCGACUUCUUCAGAUGUGUUCCUGCCAUCAACGUCUCACUAUCCACCGAGCCCAUUAACACGAUUGUAAAGGAAUACGACAGCCAUUUUGAGGUCAAAGUUUGUGUGACGGUUUCCUACCAUUCAAAACCAGCGAAUAUAACCACAAAGCUUUCGGUACUAAGCGAAGUGGUGGGCAACAGUGCCGAGAUUAAAAAACCAAGAUUCGAUGUGCCUUUAGAACACCGAAAGGGACGUUAUUGCGAGAAUGUCGUAGUCAAUUUUAUGUAUAACGAGUCAGGACUGUAUACCUUCUCGUCCAAGUUGGAGUCCGAUAUUGAUAAACAACUGAAAUUAAAAGAUUUUGAUCCUGGAUGGGUGCAGAUGAGCGUCUACAGCAAGAGAGAAGAUUCAGUGGAAGUGACACGCCAGUGUUCUGAUGUAAAUGACUGCACGCCACGGCUGGAGAUGCACUUGUUGUGGGCUGGCAGUGAAGACACCACAGAAUGGCCAUUGAGCGUUAAUACGGUACAGAACGUAACGGUGUUGGUAGAGAACAAGGGAGCGAACGCGUACGAUGCGUGUGUGCGCGUACGCAUGAGUGGAGCGCGGGUGCUGAACGUCGCGUGCGGCCUCGACGACACGGGCGCGUACAAGUGCUACUUGCCGAAACCUUUAACUAGGGGACAAAAGUAUCCUUUGAAAAUUAUAGUAAGCUUGGAUGAGGUUACGAACAACGAUGAUGGGUUUCACAUUGUAGCUGCUUUGUCCAACAACUGUAACUCGGGAAAUGCAUCGAUAGUGCAAAAACACAUCAAGUAUCAAUUUCCGACUGAUAAUAUAAAGGUUACCGGACACCCUCACACGCUUGACGUGACGGAGACGACAUUACAAGAUAAAAAGAAUCCAUUAACUGACGACAGACACAAAUAUAGUAUUGUAAAUUCUGGUUCUGUGCACUGGAAAAACAUCAAAGUCGUUGUUACAAUAGUUAAAAGAGAUUUUAUUCAAAAUUAUACGGCAACAACAACUGCUGUAAACAGCCAGUGCACAACAACUGUAGGAGAUGAAGUACAUUUCAAUUGUACUGUGGAUUUGAUACCCCAAAUUCCUGUUUCUAUCAUAAUUUCAGUUGAAAUUGUAAACAGUAAAAUUUUUGGAAACUUAGUUGAUGACAAGUUACUAAUAACAUCUAAUAUAUCUGUGCCGUUGAAACCAACGUCGACAGUAAUUUCAAAGAGUCAAACGUCGACGAUAAAUUUUGUUAAGGAGUUGUCUCUGAAGAACAAUAAGGCUGUAAUUAUAAUCAUCGCCAUUAUAGUAGCUAUUGUAAUAAUGUGCCUACUGAUGUAUAUCCUGUUUAGAAUGGGUUUCUUCCAAAGGAAAGAAAAGCAACGCUUGGAUUCGUUAAAGGAGAGCGUUAAAAGCAAGGGUUCUAAACCUUCAACGUCAGAGACUGCGAAAGAAGGUCGCAAAGAAUCUAAAGAAGAAGACAAUAUGGAUGAUUUUGAAAUAGAAAUCAUAGAAGACUGUCCGUUUGACCCUACGCCAGUCCGUACAUCUUCAACUGCAAAUCUUGUCGUUGAAAAAGCUAGUUAACAUUCUCAAAUCAAAUCGUCAGUAAAUUCUUUAAUAAAUAAGUGUGUAAGUAGAGUUUGAAGAGGAAGGCAUAGACGUACAGUCAUGAGCAAUAUAAUGUACCCACUUUAGGACUCUGUCGCACUAACAUAUUUGACAUUUAGUG
rnacentral:misc_RNA from 1 species